GAGCCACGGCACCCAACCCCAGAACACAUUUGAGCCAGCUGUGCACAUGGCUUGCUCGUUCACUUUGCUCUGGUCUCUGUUCAAUGUCAUAACCCACAGAAGCCUUGACUACCCAGUCUCAAAUGCUCUAAAAUUCCCAGCUAACCUCUCUCUCUAUCCUCCCUCUCUCUUUCUCUCUCUCUCUCUCUCUCUCUCCCUCUCUCUCCCCUUCUUAUCUUUCUUCUCUCCCCCAUUCCUCUCUCUCCCCAUCAACUUUUUAGAAGGACUCUGUGGCCUUUGCAUCUUUUGACAUGUAAAUGUAAUCCCUCUCUGUCCUACAUGAUAA
rnacentral:lncRNA from 1 species